CGGGGAGGACUGCAGCUGCCUUCCCCCAUCAGCAUCGCCGUCCCGGCGUCCCACGGCAGGCCGGGGAGCAGAGCAGAGCAACUCGGGGCUGCGCAGCUGGCAAAGGGAGCUCUGCGGAUGUGCCGCGGCUCUUCCCACGUGCGUAACGAAGCCUCUCCUCUUUGUCCUCACAGGAGGAGCCCCGUAAAGCCUUCCGCCAGAUCAAACUGGAGGUGCGGAGCAACUGGGGAAACGCGGAAUACACCUGCGUGUACAGAGCCGAUGUUCACGGCAGCCCAGAAAAGAAAUAAUAGAUGCGUAGAACGGAAGAAUUAAAUAAAAAGAUGUUGCCACUUUUCUGCCCGCGUUAAGGGUGAUCACUAAAGCGGCGCGGUGGGGUUGGGAGGAGGCAGGGGCUGCAGGGCUGAAUCGGGUGAGCGCCACGCCGCGCUGUGACGUCAUCACCGUGCGCCGCGAGGAGGAGGGGGCCGUGUGGAAACGCAGCUAUAUAUCUGCUGAUGGAAAGAGAAUCCAUGUUCUGGAAAAGAAAACAUGUGUGCAGCGAUUUUUUCAAGAUUUUGGUCACAAGCCCAAGAUCACUCAGUUCUGUCCUUUACUGGGGAGCUGUGCAGUGCUGAGCUGUCUGCUGGGCUAAUUCACAACAGUGAACAUGCCUGUUAGACAAUCACAAACACUUGAUCCUCAGAUCUUAAUAGAAACUGUGCACAAAAUGGCCAGCAAAGUAAAAUCCAUUACUGUCAAAAUAAAUAUUAGAAAAUGACUAAAAAUAUUUGUCUUUCCUGGUUUAAUUGUAUUUUGUGCAUCACCUCAAAAAUGAAAGAAAUACAGUUGGGAAAUCUAAACCUUAUUUCAAACUACACACACCAGAUUGCUGAAUCCCUCCUCGAUAAAUAGCAGUAUUCUUGUACAGUGACAUAUUUAUCCUUUAGAGAAUUUAACAGUAGUAAGCAACAUUUCCAACCAAGGGAACAAAAGCAUUUGAAGUUUUAAAAAUGCUAAACUGACCCCUAAUGAAGGCCACACAGCACUAUCCAUCCAAGUUCAGGAGCGGGUAUAAGUUAGGGCCCACAUCCAGUUUAAACAAUGAAGGUGGCCAUCCAGUUCUGCAGUUUUUAAUUAUAUGGAUGCAGGCACUGCUGUGCCAUUUGGAUGUUUGGCACAGAACUGGCCCUAGAAACCUCAGCUACAUUGCUUUUUUUUUUUUUUUUUUAUGAUCUAACUGAUUUAAUCACAUCUACAGAUUUAGCAUCUCUUGUUUUCUUGGUGUUUUUUCUUUUUCUUUUUUUUUAAUUAUUCUAUUACUUUUCUUUGAAUGUGAAAAAGAGAAACUAUACAGUAAUAUAGGGGCAGGGGCAUCCCCCAGGUUGUGGUAGGAUUUUUAAAGCCGCAACUUGAGUUCCAGUCCAUGGCUUACUGAGCUACUACACUGACCAGACAUGGUCUUCUGAAGACGGCUUGGUUGGCAUUGUUUUUACAGAGAUUCAAAGUUUCUGAGAAAUCUUUCCCAGUAGUUUAGCUGGAAGAGAGUGUUUACAGUGAACUAUAUUUUGGAGCCACACAAGAAAUGGAGAUCUUGAAGAUGUAAAUAUUACUUGCAUGUUUUCUUACACAUGAUCAUUCUCCUUUAAAUACACUGCAGUAUAUCU
ensembl:lncRNA